rnacentral:rRNA from 1 species
CCCAGUAGUGGGGGACAACAUUCGGAAACGGAUGCUAAUACCGCAUACGCCCUACGGGGGAAAGCAGGGGAUCUUCGGACCUUGCGCUAUUGGAUAUGCCCGCGUCGGAUUAGCUAGUUGGUGAGGUAAUGGCUCACCAAGGCAACGAUCCGUAGCUGGUCUGAGAGGAUGAUCAGCCACACUGGGACUGAGACACGGCCCAGACUCCUACGGGAGGCAGCAGUGGGGAAUAUUGGACAAUGGGCGGAAGCCUGAUCCAGCCAUGCCGCGUGUGUGAAGAAGGCCCUAGGGUUGUAAAGCACUUUCAGUAGGGAGGAAGGCCUUAAAGUUAAUACCUUUGAGGAUUGACGUUACCUACUGAAGAAGCAGCGGCUAACUCCGUGCCAGCUCCCCCGGUUAUACUGAG